GUCCAGGGAUGGGAAUCGAACCCAACAGUGUUCCGCUUACCGGGCAGAUGCCAUGUCCACUAGGCUACCCUGGA